rnacentral:rRNA from 1 species
GAUGAACGCUGACAGAAUGCUUAACACAUGCAAGUCGAUGGGGAAGUGGUGCUUGCACCCUGGCAACCAUGGCGGACGGGUGAGUAACGCGUAAGGGACUUACCUGCAGGACUGGGAUAACAGGGGGAAACUCCUGACAAGACCGGAUAAUGUCAUGGAGCUGCAUGGCUUUAUGAUGAAAGGAGACGCCUGCGGAGAGCCUUGCGUCCUAUUAGCUAGUUGGUGAGGUAAUGGCUCACCAAGGCGAAGAUAGGUAGCCGGCCUGAGAGGGUGGACGGCCACAAGGGGACUGAGAUACGGCCCUUACUCCUACGGGAGGCAGCAGUGGGGAAUAUUGGACAAUGGGGGCAACCCUGAUCCAGCAAUUCUGUGUGCACGAAGAAGGUUUUCGGAGUGUAAAGUGCUUUCAGCAGGGAAGAAGUAAGUGACGGUACCUGCAGAGGAAGCGACGGCUAAAUACGUG